rnacentral:misc_RNA from 1 species
GUGAAUCAUCAAAUUUUUGAACGCAAAUUGCACUCUCUUCGGAGAGUAUGCCUGUUUGAGGGUCAGCCUAAAAAAAUCGACAACGUUGCUGUUUCGCGGUGGUGUUCGUCGGAAAUUGGGUUAUCUUAAAUAUUUGGGUUAAGCGACUUAAAAUUUUCUUUUCGUUUCCAUGAAUGGUUCGAAGGUCUAUUUAUUUUAACGUUUAAGGUU